AUCCAGCUGACGAGUCCCGACCAGGACGAAACGUGUGUCCUGAAA
rnacentral:hammerhead_ribozyme from 1 species